CCCUUAGAUGUUCUGGGCUGCACGCGCGCUACACUGAAGCGUUCAACGAGUAUUCACCUUGCCCGGGAGGGUUGGGUAAUCUUUUGAAAACGCUUCGUGAUGGGGAUAGAUUAUUGCAAUUAUUAAUCUUCAACGAGGAAUUCCUAGUAAACGCAAGUCAUCAGCUUGCAUUGAUUACGUCCCUGCCCUUUGUACACACCGCCCGUCGCACCUACCGAUUGAAUGGUCCGGUGAAAUCUCGGGACGGCGGCUUGGUCGCUUGCGUCCGACUGCUGAAACUUGAUUAAACCAUAUCAUUUAGAGGAAGGUGAANUCGUAACA
rnacentral:rRNA from 1 species